rnacentral:rRNA from 1 species
GCGAAAACUUUACAAUGCUGGCAACAGCGAUAAGGGAACCUCGAGUGCCAGGUUACAAAUCUGGCUGUCGAGAUGCCUAAAAAGCAUUUCAUAGCAAGGGCCGGGCAAGACCGGUGCCAGCCGCCGCGGUAACACCGGCGGCUCGAGUGGUAACCGUUAUUAUUGGGUCUAAAGGGUCUGUAGCCGGCCGGAUAAGUCUCUUGUGAAAUCUGGCAGCUUAACUGUCAGGCUUUCAGGAGAUACUGUCUGGCUCGAGGCCGGGAGAGGUGAGAGGUACUUCAGGGGUAGGGGUGAAAUCUUGUAAUCCUUGAAGGACCACCAGUGGCGAAGGCGUCUCACCAGGACGGACCUGACGGCAAGGGACGAAAGCUAGGGGCACGAACC